CCAACUGUCGUGUUGGAGACGGCCAAUCUGUAGUUGUAGCUUGUUGUCUUAUGGCUUUGGAAAUUUUGGAUGUGGGCACAACAAUGAGAGUCUCCGCGACGGUGCUAACAUCCAACAUUACCACGUGCCAACUUCCCACUGUCCCAACAUUCCGGAAGUAGAAGGGAGAGGGAUUGGCAUUUCUAGCACGACAGAAGGGAUCACGUGAUGUCGUCUGAACGUCGUCUCUACCUAACAUAAUUUAGUUUGUCUUGUACAGUUAUCGGUCGACGAGUCCGGCUGCUGUCAAGAAGAGAUCAAUACAGCUGCUGCAGCGAUUGAAGUGUGUGCAUGAUGAACUGACUCACGAGCGACUACGUAACGAUCUGUCAGCAAAAGUUGUAACAUUUGGCUCAUUGUCUCGUGUUGACUCACGAGUUUUGCCGACUGUCGGACACACAUACUAAUCACGAAGACAAAUUACAGAUCAAGAACAUUAUAUACCAUUCGGUGAAGGACUCGGUCGGCGGUACUAAAACUGGUUUAACUGGUAUACCUUUCAUCACUACAGACAUACUGUACUGUUUGUUCUUAAUACAAUACUCAUGUCGAUUUGUACUGUAUAUAUACAUAGUGCUGUUAACUGCUGUUUCUCGACUUUACCGUUGUAUGUACGAUAUUAUAUGGUGAAUACAUAUUGUUGGCA